UACGGAGGGAGCUAGCGUUGUUCGGAAUUACUGGGCGUAAAGCGCGCGUAGGCGGUUUCUCAAGUCAGAGGUGAAAGCCCGGGGCUCAACCGCGGAACUGCCUUUGAAACUAGGUAACUAGAAUCUUGGAGAGGUCAGUGGAAUUCCGAGUGUAGAGGUGAAAUUCGUAGAUAUUCGGAAGAACACCAGUGGCGAAGGCGACUGUCUGGACAAUUAUUGACGCUGAGGUGCGAAAGCGUGGGGAGCAAACAGG
rnacentral:rRNA from 1 species